rnacentral:rRNA from 1 species
AACGAACGCUGGCGGCAUGCCUAACACAUGCAAGUCGAACGAGAUCUUCGGAUCUAGUGGCGCACGGGUGCGUAACGCGUGGGAAUCUGCCCUUGGGUACGGAAUAACUCAGAGAAAUUUGUGCUAAUACCGUAUAAUGUCUUCGGACCAAAGAUUUAUCGCCCAAGGAUGAGCCCGCGUAGGAUUAGCUAGUUGGUGAGGUAAAAGCUCACCAAGGCGACGAUCCUUAGCUGGUCUGAGAGGAUGAUCAGCCACACUGGGACUGAGACACGGCCCAGACUCCUACGGGAGGCAGCAGUGGGGAAUAUUGGACAAUGGGCGAAAGACCUGAUCCAGCAAUGCCGCGUGAGUGAUGAAGGCCCUACGGGUUGUAAAGACUCUUUUACCCGGGACUGAUAAUGACAGUACCGG